GUGAGGAAUAUUGGUCAAUGGGCGGGAGCCUGAACCAGCCAAGUCGCGUGAAGGAAGAAGGAUCUAUGGUUCGUAAACUUCUUUUGCAGGGGAAUAAAGUGCAGGACGUGUCCUGUUUUGUAUGUACCCUGAGAAUAAGGAUCGGCUAACUCCGUGCCAGCAGCCGCGGUACUACGGAGGAUCCGAGCGUUAUCCGUAUUUAUUGGGUUUAAAGGGUGCGUAGGUGGUUUGAUAAGUCAGCGGUGAAAGUUUGCAGCUUAACUGUAAAAAUGCCGUUGAAACUGUCGGACUUGAGUGUAAAUGAGGUAGGCGGAAUGCGUGGUGUAGCGGUGAAAUGCAUAGAUAUCACGCAGAACUCCGAUUGCGAAGGCAGCUUACUAAGCUACAACUGACACUGAAGCACGAAAGCGUGGGGAUCAAACAGGAUUAGAAACCCGGGUAGUCC
rnacentral:rRNA from 1 species